GAUCCGGGUUGCGGACAGUGUCUGGUGGGUAGUUUGACUGGGGCGGUCUCCUCCUAAAGAGUAACGGAGGAGCACGAAGGUUGGCUAAUCCUGGUCGGACAUCAGGAGGUUAGUGCAAUGGCAUAAGCCAGCUUGACUGCGAGCGUGACGGCGCGAGCAGGUGCGAAAGCAGGUCAUAGUGAUCCGGUGGUUCUGAAUGGAAGGGCCAUCGCUCAACGGAUAAAAGGUACUCCGGGGAUAACAGGCUGAUACCGCCCAAGAGUUCAUAUCGACGGCGGUGUUUGGCACCUCGAUGUCGGCUCAUCACAUCCUGGGGCUGAAGUAGGUCCCAAGGGUAUGGCUGUUCGCCAUUUAAAGUGGUACGCGAGCUGGGUUUAGAACGUCGUGAGACAGUUCGGUCCCUAUCUGCCGUGGGCGCUGGAGAACUGAGGGGGGCUGCUCCUAGUACGAGAGGACCGGAGUGGACGCAUCACUGGUGUUCGGGUUGUCAUGCCAAUGGCACUGCCCGGUAGCUAAAUGCGGAAGAGAUAAGUGCUGAAAGCAUCUAAGCACGAAACUUGCCCCGAGAUGAGUUCUCCCUGAGACUUUAGGUCUCCUGAAGGAACGUUGAAGACGACGACGUUGAUAGGCCGGGUGUGUAAGCGCAGCGAUGCGUUGAGCUAACCGGUACUAAUGAACCGUGAGGCUUAACCUUACA
rnacentral:rRNA from 1 species